rnacentral:rRNA from 1 species
UACGAAGGGGGCUAGCGUUGCUCGGAAUCACUGGGCGUAAAGCGCACGUAGGCGGACUCUUAAGUCGGGGGUGAAAUCCCAGAGCUCAACUCUGGAACUGCCUUCGAUACUGGGAGUCUUGAGUGUGGUAGAGGUUGGUGGAACUGCGAGUGUAGAGGUGAAAUUCGUAGAUAUUCGCAAGAACACCAGUGGCGAAGGCGGCCAACUGGACCAUUACUGACGCUGAGGUGCGAAAGCGUGGGGAGCAAACGGG